rnacentral:rRNA from 1 species
CUACGGGACGCAGCAGUCGAGAAUAGUCUACAAUGGACGAAAGUCUGAUAGUGCGAUGCCGCGUGGAUGAAGAAGCAUUUCGGUGUGUAAAGUCCUUUUCUGUGUGAGCAAUGUUUUCCAGGUUAAUAGCUUGGAGAAAGCGAUAUUAACACAGGAAUAAGCUCCGGCUAACUCCGUGCCAGCAGCCGCGGUAACACGGGGGGAGCAAGCGUUGUCCGGAAUUACUAGGCGUAAAGGGUAAGUAGGCGGAAUUGUAAGUCAGAUGUUAAAGGCACCGGCUCAACCGGUGUAUGGCAUUUGAUACUGUAAUUCUAGAGUAAGGUGGGGGAAGACGGAAUUCCUGGUGUAGCGGUGGAAUGCGCAGAUAUCAGGAGGAACACCAGAGGCGCAGGCGGUCUUCUAUACCAUUACUGACGCUCAAUUACGAAGGUGUGGGUAUCAAACAGGAUUAGAUACCCCAGUAGUC